CUGGUUGAGGGCUCAGGAAGCAGAGCCUGGGGGCAUCAUUACCAUGGCCUGGGCUCAUGUUCUCUUCACAUUCCUCAUUCACUGCACAGGUGG
rnacentral:pre_miRNA from 1 species